AACGAACGCUGGCGGCGUGGAUAAGACAUGCAAGUCGGACGAGAUUUUUUCUUGUAGCAAUACGAGGAAAAGUCUAGUGGCGAACGGGUGCUUAACACGUGGGCAACCUGCCGAGGAGUGGGGGAUAGCUCGCCGAAAGGCGAAUUAAUACCGCAUGUGAUCAGAGUGGACAUCCAUUCGAAAUCAAAGUCGGGGCAACCUGACGCUUCUUGAGGGGCCCGCGGCCUAUCAGCUAGUUGGUGAGGUAAUGGCCCACCAAGGCUUUGACGGGUAGCUGGUCUGAGAGGACGACCAGCCACACUGGGACUGAGACACGGCCCAGACACCUACGGGUGGCAGCAGUCGAGAAUUUUUCUCAAUGGGGGAAACCCUGAAGGAGCGACGCCGCGUGGAGGAUGAAGGUCUUCGGAUUGUAAACUCCUGUCAUUGGGGAACAAUGCGUAAGUAUUAACUGUAUUUACGUUGAUAGUACCCGAAGAGGAAGAGACGGCUAACUCUGUGCCAGCCGCCGCGGUAAAAC
rnacentral:rRNA from 1 species